CACGUAGGGUGCGAGCGUUGUCCGGAAUUAUUGGGAGUAAAGAGUUCGUAGGCGGUGUGUGGGGUAGGACGUGAAAACCUGCAGCUUAACUGUGGGCUUGCGGUCGAUACGGGCAUCACUGGAGUUCGGCAGGGGAGACUGGAAUUCCUGGUGUAGCGGUGAAAUGCGCAGAUAUCAGGAGGAACACCGGUGGCGAAGGCGGGUCUCUGGGCCGAUACUGACGCUGAGGAGCGAAAGCGUGGGGAGCGAACAGG
rnacentral:rRNA from 1 species